rnacentral:rRNA from 1 species
GACGAACGCUGGCGGCGUGCCUAACACAUGCAAGUCGAGCGAUGAAGUUUCCUUCGGGAAAUGGAUUAGCGGCGGACGGGUGAGUAACACGUGGGUAACCUGCCUCAUAGAGGGGAAUAGCCUCCCGAAAGGGAGAUUAAUACCGCAUAAUAUUACAGUUUCGCAUUAAACAGUAAUUAAAGGAGCAAUCCGCUAUGAGAUGGACCCGCGGCGGAUUAGCUAGUUGGUGAGGUAACGGCUCACCAAGGCGACGAUGCGUAGCCGACCUGAGAGGGUGAUCGGCCACAUUGGGACUGAGACACGGCCCAGACUCCUACGGGAGGCAGCAGUGGGGAAUAUUGCACAAUGGGGGAAACCCUGAUGCAGCAACGCCGCGUGAGUGAUGACGGUCUUCGGAUUGUAAAGCUCUGUCUUUGGGGACGAUAAUGACGGUACCCAAGGAGGAAGCCACGGCUAACUACGUGCCAGCCGCCGCCGUAACAC